rnacentral:rRNA from 1 species
AUGAACGCUGGCGGCGUGCCUAAUACAUGCAAGUCGAACGAGGUGCUUGAGUAGCAAUACGAGAGUAUCCUAGUGGCGAACGGGUGAGUAACGCGUUGGUGACCUACCCCAAAGUGUGGGAUAACAGUCCGAAAGGACUGCUAAUACCGCAUGUGGUUAUCGGAUUUAGAAACUGAUAUCUAAAGGAGCAAUUCGCUUUGGGAGGGACCUGCGUCCCAUCAGCUAGUUGGUGAGGUAAUGGCUCACCAAGGCUACGACGGGUAGGGGACCUGAGAGGGUGACCCCCCACAAUGGAACUGAAACACGGUCCAUACACCUACGGGUGGCAGCAGUAGGGAAUAUUGCUCAAUGGGCGAAAGCCUGAAGCAGCAACGCCGCGUGUGCGAUGAAGGCCUUCGGGUCGUAAAGCACUUUUCUGAGAGAUGAGCAAGGACAGUAUCUCAGGAAUAAGUCUCGGCUAACUACGU